GCGGCGGCCGGCGCAGCUGGGUGGGGGAGGGGCGGCAACUGGCACGUCCCCUCCCCCCACCGCGGCCUUUCCGGCGCGCGUGUAUCUGCCACUUCCUCCCCGGUAGGGCCUGGUGGCCUCAACCCGUACGAGCUAGGCACCGAGCUGGCCUGCAGGGCGGCACCAGCGCGCGCCGGGCAGGCUCAUGGCGGGCACGCGGCACCUCGCGUAGCCCGGAGUUGUCGCAGCCUGCAGGGGCCCUUUCAGUCUUGCACGCGGCGGACGCGGUGUGUUGCGCCUGCGGGCAGAGUCGGGGCAGCCGCUGGGUGCUGUUAAGACUCCCCUGUUGUGUGUGCGUCACACCUAAAGGCCUAGAUCCCCGUCGGCCAGCAUGGCCCUCUGCCCCACUGCCGCUGGUCCUAAACGCAGAUGAGGCCUUCCAAAAGUCCCAUCAGUGCCAGAGCCCCGAUGCUGACACCUGAGCUGCUGGCUCCUACCAUAAGCUUGCAGGGAGCAUCUGGCUAACGAGGCUUCUGAUCUCAGCCUGCACCCUCAGUUCUUGGCCGUCUGCUUUUCUGGCUCAUGCUUGCAGAUGCCACUCUAAUGGUCUGGUUUCCGUGGCUCGGCUUGCUCGUGGACUUUUCUCUCCUUUUAAUUUCCUGGCUUGCCUCUGUGUUCUGCUUGCCCUCUCCCACUUUCCUAUGCGCCCACUUAUGGUAACCUUGAUCUCCAGUCGGUCUCCAGGUCUAGUCACCCGUGACCUGAUGCUGCCAAUCUGCCUGGACUACUCUUUGGCGAAGAGGGCCUGUUAUGGAUGCUUCUCCCCUGGUGGUGCUCUCAGACCCACCUGCUUUAGAUGCCAAUUCUCCAGGAGACCUACAGGCCAUGCAGAAGUGGCUGAUUCAGCUUGCCUCUAUCUGACAAGCCUUGGAGCUUCACUUGCUGCAGUUGACUACUGCACACCAGACCCUUCAAUCCCCAGUUGCCUGUCUUCAGGAGAGCUCCUGGUUGGAGGAAACGUGGCAGCUGAGAGAAGAGCGCGCAUUCUGGGCCCACCUGGAACCCUGAGCUUGAGACCGUUACCCAAAAGCGCUACGUGGCAGACACCAACUGCAACAGCAGCUGAAUUCUACUAAUUCUGAUAGGGUCCAUGAGAAGAGGUAAAGGCUGACCUUGCCUAGGGGAAGUGCCCUCCAAACCUCGUGACUUUGUGGAUUUAGUGAUCUGCAUUCUCAGUCUUGCACUCUACAGAAAAGGAAAGAAGAAAAGAGGUACUCUUUGUCUUCUCCUUGUCCCCGUCCUCUGCUCUUAAACCUGUGCUGGUAGAUGGGGGAGGACUGCCACCUUACCCUGAGCAAGUGGGAAUGACACUGCCAGCACAAUUUGUGCUUCUAUUGUGGGACAUCAGGACAUGUGCUUGCCUACUGCCCUACAAGAAGGGAAACAUGCCUCCACCUCCUCUCACUCAGCCCUGCAAGGGGUAUUGACUUGGGGUCAGCAAUAAAGGUGAAACCUGUAGCCAAAUCAAACUGCAGACCUUUCAGAUAAGGUUACCUGUUCACCUGCAGAUCACAGGCUGAGCCUGUUUUACAGCUGGUAUUAUCUACCCUACCGGACUUCGGGGCAACUAGAAAUGUCAUUAAUGAAACCAUUGUCCAAGCCUUACGUAUCCCUUCAUAACAGCUCAGGCUGGGAAUAGUUGAGACCAUUUCUAGCUCCCCUCUUUCAUCAGGCUCCUUGGAGUUGGAAACCCUCACCCUUGAUGUGGAAAUCUGCAAACACAGGGAAACUUUGCUUUGGGGCAGUCUGAUCCCACAUUACUCCCUGAUCCUGAGAUCCUUCUGGCUUGCCUGUUAUGGUCCCCUGGUCCAGUGGAAAAGCUAUGAGGUGUUUUACAUCCAGUUUUUGCAGGAAACACUUAAAAGCCUUGGAUGGUUGACCCACCCUAUGAUUUCAGGCUAGAAUCCUAACAGAUAGCAAGGUAGAUUUGAACCUUAAAAUAAAUACAUUUCUAUAAUAUAGCAUAAGCUUACAUGAGUUGGUUUAUGCAUAUAUAUAUUCUCAGUAUAGUUAGUCCUUUAAGGAUUCUGCUUGACUUCAGACUAACACAGCUAACUAUGUAUCCCAACAGAUACUGUCCUACAAGGAGCUCUGUCUCUUGCAGCAAGAUCUGACCUACCCCAACAUUAUGCAGCUGUUUUUGAUUAAAAACCUGCUGAAGUUCCUCCUCCCUCCCACACUGUGUCUACAACUGCACCAUUGUCUUACAGCCUAGGAUCUCAGUGGACCACUCUACACUAUGUCUGAGCAGGAACUAGCUGCCCUCUGAGAGUACCUUCAGGCAUGGGCAGAUCUAGGAUUUUGAAAAGGGGUGCAGAUGGUGUGACUGAUUAGCAUGUAUAAUGCAACACACAUUUUUCUCCAGUUAAAGAGGAAUUAGAUGCUUUACUAAUAUACUAAAGGGCUAGCAGUAUAUUAUUUAGUUUAAGGCCAAAGCAAAAACAAAUAAAACUAUUAGACUGCA